AAGCCUUGGGACCCUGUGCCUGUGUUAUCCUGUGACUGUUUCCUUUUUCAAUGUUAGCCUCAAGUCCGGCCCAGGCUGUCCACUCCCACUGACUUGCGGGUAAAGAGAAAGAGAGAGAAUUUGAAGUGAGUUUCAAUGUGAUGAACACCCUGAAUUUGGAGUUCCAAUCGUCUCUGCUUCCCCUUUUCAAGCCUAUCUCCUUCAUGCUGAUAUAAUUUUACUUACAAACACAGACACAUCAAUGUUUCAUAGCCCUGACAAUUCCAAAUGCUUGCUGGUGGAGCUCCGUCCAGACUUGCACACUUG